CUAUACAUGCAGUCGAGCGAACAGAUGAGGAGCUUGCUCCUCUGAYGUUAGCGGCGGACGGGUGAGUAACACGUGGGUAACCUACCUAUAAGACUGGAAUAACUCCGGGAAACCGGGGCUAAUGCCGGAUAAUAUGCAGAACCGCAUGGUUCUGCAAUGAAAGACGGUUUUGCUGUCACUUAUAGAUGGACCCGCGCCGUAUUAGCUAGUUGGUAAGGUAACGGCUUACCAAGGCAACGAUACGUAGCCGACCUGAGAGGGUGAUCGGCCACACUGGAACUGAGACACGGUCCAGACUCCUACGGGAGGCAGCAGUAGGGAAUCUUCCGCAAUGGGCGAAAGCCUGACGGAGCAACGCCGCGUGAGUGAUGAAGGUCUUCGGAUCGUAAAACUCUGUUAUUAGGGAAGAACAAGUGCGUAGGUAACUAUGCGCACCUUGACGGUACCUAAUCAGAAAGCCACGGCUAACUACGUGCCAGCAGCCGCGGUAAUACGUAGGUGGCAAGCGUUAUCCGGAAUUAUUGGGCGUAAAGCGCGCGUAGGCGGUUUUUUAAGUCUGAUGUGAAAGCCCACGGCUCAACCGUGGAGGGUCAUUGGAAACUGGAAAACUUGAGUGCAGAAGAGGAAAGUGGAAUUCCAUGUGUAGCGGUGAAAUGCGCAGAGAUAUGGAGGAACACCAGUGGCGAAGGCGACUUUCUGGUCUGCAACUGACGCUGAUGUGCGAAAGCGUGGGGAUCAAACAGGAUUAGAUACCCUGGUAGUCCACGCCGUAAACGAUGAGUGCUAAGUGUUAGGGGGUUUCCGCCCCUUAGUGCUGCAGCUAACGCAUUAAGCACUCCGCCUGGGGAGUACGGCCGCAAGGCUGAAACUCAAAGGAAUUGACGGGG
rnacentral:rRNA from 1 species